GCCUGGUGUGGUGGCGCACACCUGUAAUCCCAGUGGCAUGGGAGGCUAAGGCAGGAGAAUCAUGAGUUCAAAGCCAGCCUUAG
rnacentral:sRNA from 1 species